GUGUUUCUUUCCUGUUUGCGGGAAAUACGUUGUCUGCAGAGACUCUGGGUGUGGCAAGAGAACAGAUGGGCAACACAUUCUGAAUACUGGAGUGAACACUGCGCUAUCUCUGAAUGGGAAUAAAAUCUGAGGUACUUCAGUCUCCAUGGUAGGCACAGAUACUCUUGCUGCUCUUUGUACUUGCAAUGUUAGUUUUAACUUCUCCCAGCAUAUGAGCUCAAGG